GGUGCUAAUCAAAAUAGCACAAAUAAACCCUGACACUCAACAACUCCCGAGUGCCUGCCGCCCCGGGAGGAGAGUACAGAUUGGUUAUGAAUCCGGCCGGCCGCGCGUGCUACACACCCGCCCCGGAGUUCUCGCAAGUGCACGACAUGGACCGUUGGGUGUUUACUUAAGAUAAGAGCUAUGGAGCCGCCAGAGCGGCCACGCUGCCUCCCAGGCGAUGAGCAGCACGGCCCCAAAGACCCCCCAGAGCCUAAGGUCCCGAUCUCGGCGCAAUGUCAGGUGCGCGCCGCCGCACCUGCAGCUAGGUUACGCUGAGACACCUUAACUCGGAGUGGAGUUCGUCCCAACGGCCUCGCCUGAUCAUCGGUCACCGCAAAGGCCUCCUUUGUAACAACAAAGCCAGAAAGAAAGGCUUAUGCUUCCUUGUUUGUCAUAGCCCCGCCAGUAAAUGGCCUGUAACAGCUAUAUGCACUUGAUACAUUUAAGGAAAAACCUGCCUGGGCCCUUUUUCUUCCCGCGAUACAGCAGCAUCUCGUCUGGGGGAGCCACAGAAUCGUGACCAAAGUGUUUCAGCACCUCCCUCCCCAGGCUUCAAGUGCAGGACGCAUCCUUACUUGCUUAGAGACCCUGAUGCUGACCCAGAUUACCUCGGUGGCUUCUUGAACCCUCUGGUUUACGACCUGGAGGUGCGCGUGACAAGAAUUGCUCUCAACAACAUGAAUCUCUCUCACCAAGGGAAAAGAUGAAGUGACACUUCCCUACCCCACCCCUGCAAACGAUUUUUAUUUGCAGUUGUUCAACGGCUUUUUAAAAACGCGGCGGUCACUGCCACUGGAGCAUUUCAAAGAGAAACAGAGGAAAGCCCCAAGAAAAUGUGUUGCUAUUCAAUUAGGAAAACUGAUUAGUUGACUAAUUAAUCAGUUAACAGCUUUCUAAGAAUAGUCUCCCAUGAUAAGAAUUUCCCCCCUCAAGAGCUUAAAAGUCAGUCAUAAUUAAAAUUAAGAACCAGAGCUCGCUCUCUCCGUGUUAAGUCCCCAUGGCCCUAAAAGCAGGGAAGCUAGGUUCUGGUUUCCCGGGGAUUGGGCUGCAUGGAGCAAAGAAAGGUAAUUUGCACACUGAAGGGGAACAGGAAAACGGUAGUUCUCGUGAAAGGAAAAGAGCCAAGUGACUUUUAUUUACAAUUGCCAAGAGAGAGGCCAUUAUUGACCAUAUGUGCCACAAUGGCCCUCUUAUCACGGGCUGGCCAUCAUGUCCUUUGGGAGCUGUUAAUGAACUGGGUAAUUGAGCUGCUGACAUGUGUUACCAAAACAAAACAAUAGGAAGAAGAGACAAAUGAACAUUUUAUUUGCCAAUCAGAGUAGGUUCGCCUUUUCACGGAGCUGCGGCUAAGUUACUGACUGAAUACAUAAAACAGUGCAUUGAAAGCAAGCAGAUGUAGACACAAUAAUAGUUAACUGACAGCUUCUGGCCCAUCUGUGCUUAACAUUUUGUUAAAGAAAUUACUUGACUUGCUAAAGAGACCAAUCAUACAGCUGCCCCGAGUGCUACAUUAUAAGAGAUAAAUCAUUAGCUAAACUGUUUCAUGCUUAAAAUGACAAUGCUUAUUAACAGUUGUGUUGGGACAUUUUUGCCGGCACAGCUUGACACAGUUAUUACUUGCUAAAAAUGGGACAACUCCUAGAUUUUCAACAGAAGGGAGUUGGGGCAGGGGGAGGAAUCAGAACACUGCAAACCCUUUGAAAGAACAAUAGGCAUUUUUAAUCUCUCACGAUUAAGUCUGCAUUUCUAAGAUGUUACAAAUGGGGGGGGGGGGAACCUGUGAAAUGGACCACAAGAUGAUGUUCCAUGUGGUAAUUAGGACUCAGAUAUCACAGUCAACUCUGCAAAUCAGUUGUGAAAACACGACUAUAAAAGAAGCCAGAGCAGGAUCAGUAUGUGCACCGAAUGGGACACCGGGUAGAGAAGAAAACCAGCAGAAGCACAGCAAGAUGACAUCCAGAUGAAAUGCUGAGGCACAGAAACAGUCAGGUAGCUAGUAUGGUGUGGAGGGGUGGGUCCGAUGUAAUGUAUACGGAGAUUCAUGUUUAUUGAUUCUGAGCCAAGCUUCAUCCCCAAAGCCCAUCAUCACCAUCCGAGGGCACGCAAAAUACAGAGCCAAAACUCUCAUUUUCCCUCGCAUGUCUCAAGUCCCAAUCCUCCUGUGGUGUGUAGGAGGGGAUGCCUGGCCCCAUCUCCUGCUGCUGUCAUUCCCUCAUGUCCAGGCAUGAAUGAAGCCAGAAUUGUGGGAGACUUUUUCCCACAAGAAUCGAGGUCUCUGUGUUGUUACUCAACUUCAUACAGCCGGUGCCACACGUAAUUCACGGACUAAUUACACCCAAGAACCACGCUAUUGCUCAGCUCACAAGAAGAGAGAGAAUGAGGAAACUCUUCUGAUUGGACAACAGUUUUCCAGGGGAUGUGAGUCUUGCUGUUGUGGUCACUUAAGUUUCACGUUGACACUUGCUUUGACUUCGGACUCUUGGAUUAUCUUGGAUAUCUUCGGACUCCUGGAUAUCUUGGAUCUCUAUGUUAUACACUCCAUGACCUCUGCCAUGAACCGCUGGUUACACCCACAGAAAUGGUAGAAACGCAGUUGUCACCUCACUCCCUAAUCCUAUGCCCUGAUGCCCCAUACACCACUCUCACCCUUUUUAUCCAAAUUGCCACCACCAGGGCAGCAAAUUUACCAAUCCGCUAAACAAGGAAGCUAGAAGCAGCACAGAAGAGAGACAUAUUCUAUUCCCAGGAUCCUGUUCUCAACCCAGAUGGUCUGUUGGGCACGUUGCCUGAACUGUAUUGCUCUCACAUUCCCCAUUUGUAAAGAAGUAAUAACAAGCCACAGGUGAUUAUGAGGAACCAAUUUACAGGGGUAUGAAUAGUCUCUGAAAAAUGCAGAGUACUAGAGAAAGGCAAACUAAAGGUAAGCCACGGUGGUGAAGUAUAAAAUGUAUAUCCUGGUUUGACAUUAGUGUGCUAACUUUCUCGAACACUGAAGACACGUUGGGGUGUGAUUCAAGGAUUCAACACUUCAUGCUAAGGAAGACUCCGGAUGUCGAUACCAAUCAAUCGAGAUGGUGCACCACCAGAAACAGCAAUAAAACAAGUUGUCAAAGAUAAAUACGUUGACACACAUGCUCUC